AUUGAACGCUGGCGGCAGGCCUAACACAUGCAAGUCGAACGGCAGCACAGAAGAGCUUGCUCUUUGGGUGGCGAGUGGCGGACGGGUGAGUAAUGUCUGGGAAACUGCCCGAUGGAGGGGGAUAACUACUGGAAACGGUAGCUAAUACCGCAUAACGUCGCAAGACCAAAGUGGGGGACCUUCGGGCCUCACACCAUCGGAUGUGCCCAGAUGGGAUUAGCUAGUAGGUGGGGUAAUGGCUCACCUAGGCGACGAUCCCUAGCUGGUCUGAGAGGAUGACCAGCCACACUGGAACUGAGACACGGUCCAGACUCCUACGGGAGGCAGCAGUGGGGAAUAUCGCACAAUGGGCGCAAGCCUGAUGCAGCCAUGCCGCGUGUAUGAAGAAGGCCUUCGGGUUGUAAAGUACUUUCAGCGGGGAGGAAGGCGGUGAGGUUAAUAACCCUGCCGAUUGACGUUACCCGCAGAAGAAGCACCGGCUAACUCCGUGCCAGCAGCCGCAGUAA
rnacentral:rRNA from 1 species